rnacentral:rRNA from 1 species
AUUGAACGCUGGCGGCAUGCCUUACACAUGCAAGUCGAACGGUAACGCGGGGCAACCUGGCGACGAGUGGCGAACGGGUGAGUAAUGCAUCGGAACGUGCCCAGUAGUGGGGGAUAGCCCGGCGAAAGCCGGAUUAAUACCGCAUACGACUUACGGGUGAAAGCGGGGGAUCGCAAGACCUCGCGCUAUUGGAGCGGCCGAUGUCAGAUUAGGUAGUUGGUGGGGUAAAGGCCUACCAAGCCUACGAUCUGUAGCUGGUCUGAGAGGACGACCAGCCACACUGGGACUGAGACACGGCCCAGACUCCUACGGGAGGCAGCAGUGGGGAAUUUUGGACAAUGGGCGCAAGCCUGAUCCAGCCAUGCCGCGUGAGUGAAGAAGGCCUUCGGGUUGUAAAGCUCUUUCGGCCGGGAAGAAAUCGCACGGGCUAAUACCCUGUGUGGAUGACGGUACCGGAAUAAGAAGCACCGGCUAACUACGUGCCAGCAGCCGCCGUAAUAC